UACCCCUGCUCCUUGAUGGCAGGGGCUUCAUGAGGCCCCACUCUGCGGUCACAGAGUGACCUGAUCAGAGCAACACUCGGGAAGGCUCAGCUCUCAGUUCCUACUGGAAGCUCUAUCUGCUGCUGUGCUUCCUGUUCCUUCCCCAAUGUCACUUGGCACACACAGAAGCUGCCUUGGCCCCUUGUGAAGCCCAUCCUACCGUUUGGCCACCCCUUCUUUACAAGGAACAAAUCAUUUUGGUGAGUCUACCACCUCAAAUUUACAAAUGACGUUCCCAUAAAUCCAUAGCCAGCAUUGGAUGGCAUCAACAAGGAGUUAACCAAUAAUCCUUUCACAUACUCAAAUUUCAUAUUCACUGGAAGGAAAAAAAUCAGUAAUUGCCAAAGGAAAAAGGACAAGAUCAGCAGGGAAAGAAAUUUAUUUUCAAGCUUCUAAGAGAGCGCUACAAACAAUAGAGACUAAAAAUCAAGCAUUUAAAACUAUUGAAACAUGUACUUGACAAUGUCCUUAUAAAAAAAAUAAACAUAAAAAUGUAAAAUAAAAAUGCAGUUAAUAAUUCUAAAACUUCUCGAAUAGCAAAAUAAAA